ACAUGUUUUACGUGAAUCAUCCCUAACCUACACCUGCCACUUUUAUUUCUAUUUUUUCUCCUCUUUUUCAUUUACUCACUCUACUCUCUCUUCCCAUUCCUCUGCUCAUCUCUGUCCUUCGCACUCUUCCGUUUCUCCUUCCUCGUUUUUCUUCUCUCGUUCCAUCUCUUUCUAACUUUUUGAAGGAUGACGUGUAAUUAUUGAUGGAGUGCAGAAGAAGAAGUGGCAGGUAGUGUUAGGGAAUGAUAUGAGAUUUAUUAAUUUUUUUGAGAUCCCAGAGAAUUUUUUGGAUUUAAAGCUUCAGGUGUUGUGGGCGAAAGAGUUUCCUCUGGUAUUGCGCUUGUUCCUUCCUGUGGAACCUUUAAAUUCUUAAAGAAGCCGAGAGAGGUAUAGAUGAGUUUUGUCAUUAUUGUUGUUGUUUUAUGUGCUUCAGAUGGCAUUACUUAAUUGGUUCUUCAGAUUGUAUAUUUAUACUUUACAACUUUAGGUUUUGUUCCUAUAUGAUGAAUUCAUUAAGCUUUACAGCUAGGACAAGGAAGCAUUCCCUCCUUGUGGCCUUUUAGCUGGAGUGGACUUAUUGGAUAUUAAUUUUGUUUAUAUGUUUUCUUUUGAUGGAGGAAGCUCAACAAUUUCUCAUUUUUUAAAAUUUGGUCUUUUUGGUAGACGUAAUGAUUGGUGCUUCUUAUGUGAAUUUCAAGUGCAUGUUGAAAGAGCAAGCAAAAGUACAUAGCCCUUUUCGCCAAUGAGUAUUCUGUCGCGCUUGGCUAAUAUUGGCAGUAAUAUUGGCUAUGGAAAGCAGGAGGAUGCUCAUGAGUUUAUGAGGUUUGCCAUUGACACAAUGCAAUCAGUCCGCCUUGAUGAAUUUGGUAGAGAGAAAGCCUUCGAUCCGUAAGAGUUGUAGUCAAACAAAAGGGGGAUAAUUUUGGAGAUUUCUAGUCUGAAUUGGCCAUAAUAAAUGUAUUAUUUAUGUAUUUGAGAUGUAUUGUGUAUUUAUAAUAUUUAAAAGAUGUAUUGUUUUUUA